CGGACUGAAAUUUGACACGCAAGUAAAGUAGAUAUCCCUCUUUAAAUGUUGCGAUUUUUAAUGAAAUAUAUGCAGCCAUUCAGAUUUUAUGUCAUUUAAAAUUUUUUGAAAAAAGGACGUGGUCGCUCUAACUUGCGUAAAGGUUCGACGAUUUACCUAAAUAGUUCUUCAUAACUGAAGAUACGUUUAAUGUUGUUUGGUAUUGAAUUUCAACAAAAUCGCUAAAGCGGUUCAGAUUUUACGUGGUUUUGAAAUUUUCAAAAAAUUAUCGUUGUUUUGUUUUUUUUACCUCAUUUUUAAUUGUUCAUUCCUGUAAGUACCAAAGUUCAAUUGUACAUACAUAACUCGCGAAAAUAAAUCAAAGAACUUCCUCAUAGUGGAGGCUUUGUGAACGAAGAAAAAGAAUCAAGAAGCAAAGUGUAAGAUUCUACUUUGCAUCAUUGUGAUAAAAAAAACCAAGUAAAAUAAUGAGGAAGCAAUUUGCAAGGUUCUACUUUUCACCCUUGUUCUUAUUUCUUUUUUCUCUUUUCUUAUCUCUUAUUUGCAACUAUGCAAAAAAUUAUGCUCAUGGUGUGGAAAGUGACGGUACCCCAUGAACCAUCCUCGCUGCAUUUUGUCAGCUCCUUGGUGACAAGCGAUUGAAGCGGCGAUUAAAAAAAAAAGUAAUAGUCAGAGUGUAGUGGAAAAAGUUGAGAGGUCAGAGCAUGUUUUUAAAGAAAUGACGAUCCGCCAGGCUGUCUAGCAUCACAACACUUUGCAGGGUAUACAAAAAAGUGGCACGUAUAAGAUUACAAAAAUAAACUUAACUCUAAAUGAAUAUUAAUAAGAGUGAUGCUGCUCGAUUCAGCUGUCAAUUGUCACUGGCUUCCUCUCGAUCAUUCUGUAUAAAAACACCUCGGUUUCCGGUGUCCGGUGUCUCUAUAUCUUAUCGAUUAUGGCACCGAGGAGAUCCAACACACCACCCGAGAGGGUCGAGGGCGUUCGCCCACCGUUGAAUGAGUUUUUCGCCCCCCUCCACGGUGGGCAAUGUUUCUACGGGUGCAUGUAUAUCCGCAGCCCGGUGGAAUUAUGUUACGGGUGCAUGCGCGUCCAGGCACCCGAAAUCCAGGCGCAGCACCC